AGAGAGAGAGAGAGAGAAUAAAAAGAGAGAAGAAGGGAAGUGAAGGAUAAACUAGUUGACACGCUUGUGUUUACUUGGCUGCCCAGAAGAGGCAGCUAAGGUAAAUUACAAAAGCUAAAACAAACCAUAAUUGCAAAAAAUCCAAUAUUCUUUUCAAAAAGACUUUUUGUAAGAGAUUUUUAGAGGACUUUUGUAGGUAUUGUUAAGUGCAUGAUGCAUAUUUUUCUG
rnacentral:misc_RNA from 1 species